UACGGGGGGGGCAAGCGUUGUUCGGAAUUACUGGGCGUAAAGGGCGCGUAGGUGGCCUUCUAAGUCGAACGUGAAAUCCCUGGGCUCAACCCAGGAACUGCGUCCGAUACUGGAAGGCUUGAAUCCGGGAGAGGGAUGCGGAAUUCCAGGUGUAGCGGUGAAAUGCGUAGAUAUCAGGAGGAACACCGAUUGCGAAGGCAGCUCGCUGGAACGUUACUGACGCUGAGACGCGAAAGCGUGGGGAGCAAACAGG
rnacentral:rRNA from 1 species